rnacentral:rRNA from 1 species
AUUGAACGCUGGCGGCAGGCCUAACACAUGCAAGUCGGGCGAGCGGCGGACGGGUGAGUAAUGUAUGGGGAUCUGCCUGAUGGCGGGGGAUAACUACUGGAAACGGUAGCUAAUACCGCAUACCAUCCGAUGAACCCAUAUGGGAUUAGCUAGUAGGUGAGGUAACGGCUUACCUAGGCGACGAUCCCUAGCUGGUCUGAGAGGAUGAUAAGCGACACUGGGACUGGGACACAGCCGAGAAUCCUACGGGAGGCAGCAGUGGGGAAUAGUGCACAGUGGGCGCAAGCCUGAUGCAGCCAGGCCGCGUAAACGAAGAAGGCGUUCGAGUCGUAAAGUUCUAUUAUAUGGGAAUCGGUACCAUAAGAAAAAGCCCCGGCUAACUACGUGCCAGCAGCCGCGGUAAUAC